CCUACGGGGUGCUGCAGUGGGGAAUAUUGGACAAUGGGCGAAAGCCUGAUCCAGCCAUGCCGCGUGUGUGAAGAAGGCCUUCGGGUUGUAAAGCACUUUCAGUGGGGAAGAAAGCCUUGGGGCUAAUACCCUCGAGGAAGGACAUCACCCACAGAAGAAGCACCGGCUAACUCCGUGCCAGCAGCCGCGGUAAUACGGAGGGUGCGAGCGUUAAUCGGAAUUACUGGGCGUAAAGCGCGCGUAGGCGGUCUGAUAAGCCGGUUGUGAAAGCCCCGGGCUCAACCUGGGAACGGCAUCCGGAACUGUCAGGCUAGAGUGCAGGAGAGGAAGGUAGAAUUCCCGGUGUAGCGGUGAAAUGCGUAGAGAUCGGGAGGAAUACCAGUGGCGAAGGCGGCCUUCUGGACUGACACUGACGCUGAGGUGCGAAAGCGUGGGUAGCAAACAGGAUUAGAUACCCUAGUGUC
rnacentral:rRNA from 1 species